CCUACGGGUGGCUGCAGUGAGGAAUAUUGGUCAAUGGCCGGAAGGCUGAACCAGCCAUGCCGCGUGAAGGUCAGUGCCCUAUGGGCGUUAAACUUCUUUUGUGCGGGAGCAAUAAUGGUCACGUGUGGGUGUUGGAGAGUACCUGAAGAAAAAGCAUCGGCUAACUCCGUGCCAGCAGCCGCGGUAAUUCGGAGGAUGCGAGCGGUAGCCGGAUUUAUUGGGUUUAAAGGGUGCGUAGGCGGGUUAUCAAGUCAGCGGUAAAAUCGUGGAGCUCAACUCCAUCCAGCCGUGGAAACUGGUGAUCUGGAGUGGGCGAGGAGUAUGCGGAAUGCGUGGUGUAGCGGUGAAAUGCAUAGAUAUCACGCAGAACUCCGAUGGCGAAGGCAGCAUGCCGGCGCCCGACUGACGCUGAAGCACGAAAGCGUGGGGAUCGAACAGGAUUAGAUACCCGUGUAGUC
rnacentral:rRNA from 1 species